GAUGAACGCUAGCUUCAGGCUUAACACAUGCAAGCCGAGGGGCAGCACAGUGUAGCAAUACACGGGUGGCGACCGGCGCACGGGUGCGUAACACGUAUCCAAUCUGCCCGUUACUCGGGGAUAGCCUUCUGAAAGGAAGAUUAAUACCCGAUGGCAAUCAUUUGCGGCAUCGCUUAUGAAUUAAAGAUUUAUCGGUAACGGAUGAGGAUGCGUACGAUUAGCUGGUUGGCGGGGUAACGGCCCACCAAGGCUACGAUCGUUAGGGGUUCUGAGAGGAAGGUCCCCCACACUGGUACUGAGACACGGUCCAGACUCCUACGGGAGGCAGCAGUGAGGAAUAUUGGUCAAUGGUCGAGAGACUGAACCAGCCAAGUAGCGUGAAGGAUGACUGCCCUAUGGGUUGUAAACUUCUUUUGUUUGGGAAUAAAGUCAGGUACGUGUACCUGUUUGUAUGUACCAUUCGAAUAAGCAUCGGCUAAUUCCGUGCCAGCAGCCGCCGCGGUAA
rnacentral:rRNA from 1 species